GCCUACCAUCCCACUCUUCAUAAAUGUAGAGCCAGAAAUCUGAAACCCAGGUUUUCUGAAUCGUCCUUCAGGGUCUUCUGCAUCAAACCAAAUUAUUUCUCAGGUUUUCAAGCCUUAAGAAAAGAAGGUCUGGGGUUUGCAGUCCAGGACUGAUGUGACAGCUCUGCUUCUUAAAGUCCUCAGGAAUCUAGGGUUCCUUCCUACCCAAAUCCUCACAAUCUCUAGAGUGUGGACCUCUAUCUCAGGAUCUGGCCUGAGGCACUUGCAUUCUAGGCAGCAAGAUAGAAGGAAUCAGUUUCUUCCAGUGGAUUCCAUGGAUUGCCACUCACUUCGCAUCAGAUAGGACCUAGUCAAGCCACAGCUGGCUGUUAGGAUGUCUGGGAAAUAAAACCUUUAUUUAUUCUGAGAAGUCCUUUUCCAGCUAAAAUUCCCAUUACUGCGAUAGAAGAAGAGAACAGCUCCUGGGAAACAUACAACAGUUUAUGCACGAACCUGAAUGGUAGGGAUCCAGAGAGGAAAGAGUUGGAACAUGAAGAAGAUAGAAGAGUUCGGUGUGUUGUGUCUUUCAGAAAUUGUUUUAGGAUCUAGCUCUAAUUCUCCAGAUAGGAGACCAGUAGGAUGUGUCUGCAGAUUUUUCAAUCCCCG
rnacentral:lncRNA from 1 species